GCCGACUUAGCACAGUGGUAGCUGCGUAGCUCUCGUAAAGCUAAGGUCGUGUGUUCGAUCCACACAGUCGGCA
rnacentral:tRNA from 1 species